rnacentral:rRNA from 1 species
ACGGGUGAGUAAUGUCUGGGAAACUGCCUGAUGGAGGGGGAUAACUACUGGAAACGGUAGCUAAUACCGCAUAACGUCGCAAGACCAAAGAGGGGGACCUUCGGGCCUCUUGCCAUCGGAUGUGCCCAGAUGGGAUUAGCUAGUAGGUGGGGUAACGGCUCACCUAGGCGACGAUCCCUAGCUGGUCUGAGAGGAUGACCAGCCACACUGGAACUGAGACACGGUCCAGACUCCUACGGGAGGCAGCAGUGGGGAAUAUUGCACAAUGGGCGCAAGCCUGAUGCAGCCAUGCCGCGUGUAUGAAGAAGGCCUUCGGGUUGUAAAGUACUUUCAGCGGGGAGGAAGGGAGUAAAGUUAAUACCUUUGCUCAUUGACGUUACCCGCAGAAGAAGCACCGGCUAACUCCGUGCCAGCAGCCGCGGUAAUACGGAGGGUGCAAGCGUUAAUCGGAAUUACUGGGCGUAAAGCGCACGCAGGCGGUUUGUUAAGUCAGAUGUGAAAUCCCCGGGCUCAACCUGGGAACUGCAUCUGAUACUGGCAAGCUUGAGUCUCGUAGAGGGGGGUAGAAUUCCAGGUGUAGCGGUGAAAU